AUUGAACGCUGGCGGCAGGCCUAACACAUGCAAGUCGAACGAGUGGCGGACGGGUGAGUAAUGUAUGGGAAACUGCCUGAUGGAGGGGGAUAACUACUGGAAACGGUAGCUAAUACCGCAUACCAUCGGAUGUUCCCCGAUGGGAUUAGCUUGUAGGUGAGGUAACGGCUCACCUAGGCGACGAUCCCUAGCUGGUCUGAGAGGAGGACAAGACACACUGGAACUGGGACACGGUCCAGACUCCUACGGGAGGCAUCAGUGGGGAAUAUUGGACAAUGGGUGCAGUCCUGAUGAAGCCAUGCCGCGUGUAUGAAGAAGGCCUUCGGGUUGUAAAGUAAUUUCAGCGGGGAGGCGUUACCCGCAGAAGAAGCACCGGCUAACUCCGUGCCAGCAGCCGCGGUAAUAC
rnacentral:rRNA from 1 species